rnacentral:miRNA from 1 species
UCGCUUCGUGAGAGCGGACUGC